rnacentral:rRNA from 1 species
CACGCAGUAAACGAUGAUUACUGGCUGUUUGCGAUACAAUGUAAGCGGCUGAGCGAAAGCGUUAAGUAAUCCACCUGGGGAGUACGUUCGCAAGAAUGAAACUCAAAGGAAUUGACGGGGGCCCGCACAAGCGGAGGAACAUGUGGUUUAAUUCGAUGAUACGCGAGGAACCUUACCCGGGCUUGAAAUGCAGACGACCUCCCGCGAGAACGGGAUUCCCUUCGGGGCGUCUGUGUAGGUGC